rnacentral:rRNA from 1 species
GAUUAACGCUGGCGGCGUGCCUAACACAUGCAAGUCGAACGAGGUAGUAAUACCUAGUGGCAGACGGGUGAGUAACGCGUGGUCAACCUAUCCUCAAGUGGGGGAUAACCAGCCGAAAGGUUGGCUAAUACCGCAUAGGUGGUCGGGGGCAUCCCCUCGGUCAUAAAAGGAGCGAUUCGCUCGAGGACGGGACCGCGUCCCAUUAGCUAGUUGGUGGGGUAACGGCCUACCAAGGCACCGAU